rnacentral:rRNA from 1 species
UACGGGGGGGGCAAGCGUUGUUCGGAAUUCCUGGGCGUAAAGGGCUCGUAGGUGGCCAACUAAGUCAGACGUGAAAUCCCUCAGCUUAACUGGGGAACUGCGUCCGAUACUGGAUGGCUUGAGUUUGGGAGAGGGAUGCGGAAUUCCAGGUGUAGCGGUGAAAUGCGUAGAGAUCGGGAGGAACAUCAGUGGCGAAGGCGGCCUUCUGGACCAGUACUGACGCUGAGGCACGAAAGCGUGGGGAGCAAACAGG